CCCCACCCACUGAUUCAGAAGCCUGAACUCAAAUUUCUCAGGUUCUCAACCUUGGGUUUUGGUAGAAAAAUCCUAAAUUUGGGUUUUGGUUGAGAUUUAAAGUAAAACCCUACCCACUGAUUUCGAAGUCAGAUUUCUCUCCCAGAACUCAAAUAUCUCGACCUAAUCAAGAGUUAGAAAAGCAAAUCAAACCCCAAACUCUAGUUUUUAGUCGUAGGAAUUUCUAUCACGUCUCUGAUUUUUCAAAAAGAAGAAUUCUGCAGAAUGGAAAGAUGAGGAGGAGAUGAUGGCACUGUUCCUGAUAAUGAAGUACAAAUCCACUUGCUAAAUUUCUCUGCUUCUUGCAAAGGAUGCUUCACUUCUGCUUGCACUGGCAGCACUGCAAUUGAGAUGUCAUGGAGUUCUCCCUGAUGACGAUCCUAUCAAACCAGACCUUUGGAGUGGAUUGGAUCGGUGUCAGUGGAUAAUGGAGUCAAUCAAGGGUAGAGUUAAAUGACGACUUGCUAAGAUCCCACAAGGCACCUGAAUUUUGCAUUUUAUCUGUGGAUGUGCUACAUUCUAGUUGUCAUCUAUUCCACAGUAGUGUCAACUUGCCAAGAUCUCCUAAGUUACAUACUCCAGUUUCAGCACUUCUAUUUGGCAUAGAAUGGAAGGAGGAGGAGAUAAUGGCAACAUUCCUGCUGCUUCAGUUCUGCUUGCACUGCAAUUGGGAUGUCAUGGUGUUCACCCUGCUGACCUUGUAAGUUAAUUUCAAACCUCGGCGCUCUGUUGAGUAAAUGUUUGUCUGUUACCUGGUGACAUCACAAUAAUAAUCAGUAUAUUGGAGGAAUAGUUACCCGAUUUAGUAACUGGUUCGUUGUUGUUAGAGAAAUUGUUAAGUGGGUAAGUUAAAUUACUUACGUAUC